CACGCCGUAAACGAUGAGUGCUAGAUGUGGCGGGAAUUGACCCCUGCCGUAUCGUAGCUAACGCGUUAAGCACUCCGCCUGGGGAGUACGGUCGCAAGACUAAAACUCAAAGGAAUUGACGGGGGCCCGCACAAGCGGUGGAGUAUGUGGUUUAAUUCGACGCAACGCGAAGAACCUUACCUGGGCUCGAAGGCCAGAUAGUAUUGAACCGAAAGGGGAUAGAGCUCGCAAGAGCAGUCUGGUCAGGUGC
rnacentral:rRNA from 1 species